UGAACAGGGUGUAGGGUUGAGGGGUCUGAGCAGGGUGUAGGGUUAGGGGGUCUGAGCAGCAUGCCAGAGCACACACACACUGUCUGAGCCCCCCUACCUUCCUCCAUCUCUUCCUCCUCCUCACCCUCAUCCUCCUCCUCUUCCUCCUCCUCAUCCUCAGGGGCGCUACACUCCGUCCGUGCAUCGUCCUCUUCUUCCGGCUCUUCCUCCUCUUCCUCCUCCCCCUCUUCCUCAGGCUCGGCGUCUGAGUAGGGUUCGUCGGCAGGCAGUGAGCUGCGCUCAGGUGAGACGGGCUCCAGGUAGUCCUCCCCUCUUUCAGUCGGCUCCGCCUUGGCCACUCCAACUGAGACAGUCACCAUGGACACCACAGUCGGUUAUCACGGCAACCAAAGAUGGCAUCAGGUAUACACGGAUACAAGCUGGCACAAAUACAUGGAAACGUUUCUUUUGGCAAGGUUAGCUAGUUGAAUAUACAGUAUGAAAUCUGUCCCUGUGAGAUGAACAUAGAGACGCAGAGAAGUGUGUGUGUGUGUUACCGGUCACUGGGACCGGCUCCUCAUCAUCAUCAUCUGGUGGGGGCGGUCCAGGAGGGGUGCGGGGGCCUCUGGGUGCUGGUCUGGGAGGACUGCCAUUAUGCUGCUCCUCCUUAUCCCACUC
rnacentral:lncRNA from 1 species